rnacentral:rRNA from 1 species
CAGGCUUAACACAUGCAAGUCGAGGGGCAGCAUGGUCUUAGCUUGCUAAGGCCGAUGGCGACCGGCGCACGGGUGAGUAACACGUAUCCAACCUGCCGUCUACUCUUGGACAGCCUUCUGAAAGGAAGAUUAAUACAAGAUGGCAUCAUGAGUCCGCAUGUUCACAUGAUUAAAGGUUUACCGGUGUAAGAUGGGGAUGCGUUCCAUUAGAUAGUAGGCGGGGUAACGGCCCACCUAGUCUUCGAUGGAUAGGGGUUCUGAGAGGAAGGUCCCCCACAUUGGAACUGAGACACGGUCCAAACUCCUACGGGAGGCAGCAGUGAGGAAUAUUGGUCAAUGGACGAGAGUCUGAACCAGCCAAGUAGCGUGAAGGAUGAAGGUUCUAUGGAUUGUAAACUUCUUUUAUACGGGAAUAAACGGAUCCACGUGUGGAUUUUUGCAUGUACCGUAUGAAUAAGGAUCGGCUAACUCCGUGCCAGCAGCCGCGGUAAUACGGAGGAUCCGAGCGUUAUCCGGAUUUAUUGGGUUUAAAGGGAGCGUAGAUGGGUUGUUAAGUCAGUUGUGAAAGUUUGCGGCUCAACCGUAAAAUUGCAAUUGAUACUGGCAGUCUUGAGUACAGUUGAGGUAGGCGGAAUUCGUGGUGUAGCGGUGAAAUGCUUAGAUAUCACGAAGAACUCCGAUUGCGAAGGCAGCUUACUAACCUGUAACUGACAUUGAUGCUCGAA